GACGAACGCUGGCGGCGUGCUUAACACAUGCAAGUCGAACGGAAAGGCCUCUUUCGGGGGGUACUCGAGUGGCGAACGGGUGAGUAACACGUGAGUAACCUGCCCUUGACUUUGGGAUAACUUCAGAAAACUGGGGCUAAUACCGGAUAGGAGCUCCUGCUGCAUGGUGGGGGUUGGAAAGUUUCGGCGGUUGGGGGUGGACUCGCGGCUUAUCAGCUUGUUGGUGGGGUAGUGGCUUACCAAGGCUUUGACGGGUAGCCGGACUGAGAGGGUGACCGGCGACAUUGGGACUGAGAUACGGCCCAGACUCCUGCGGGAGGCAGCAGUGGGGAAUAUUGCACAAUGGGUGGAAGCCUGAUGCAGCAACGCCGUGUGCGGGAUGACGGCCUUCGGGUUGUAAAACGCUUUCGCUCAUGACGAAGCUUUGUGUGACGGUAGUGGGUAAAGAAGCACCGGCUAACUACGUG
rnacentral:rRNA from 1 species